GAUGAACGCUGACAGAAUGCUUAACACAUGCAAGUCAACUUGAAUUUGGGUUUUUAACUUAGAUUUGGGUGGCGAACGGGUGAGUAACGCGUAAAGAACUUGCCUCACAGCUAGGGACAACAUUUAGAAAUGAAUGCUAAUACCUGAUAUUAUGAUUUUAAGGCAUCUUAGAAUUAUGAAAGCUAUAAGCACUGUGAGAGAGCUUUGCGUCCCAUUAGCUAGUUGGAGAGGUAACAGCUCACCAAGGCGAUGAUGGGUAGCCGGCCUGAGAGGGUGAACGGCCACAAGGGGACUGAGACACGGCCCUUACUCCUACGGGAGGCAGCAGUGGGGAAUAUUGGACAAUGGACCGAGAGUCUGAUCCAGCAAUUCUGUGUGCACGAUGAAGUUUUUCGGAAUGUAAAGUGCUUUCAGUUGGGAAGAAAAAAAUGACGGUACCAACAGAAGAAGUGACGGCUAAAUACGUGCCAGCAGCCGCGGUAAUACGUAUGUCACGAGCGUUAUCCGGAUUUAUUGGGCGUAAAGCGCGUCUAGGUGGUUAUGUAAGUCUGAUGUGAAAAUGCAGGGCUCAACUCUGUAUUGCGUUGGAAACUGUAUAACUAGAGUACUGGAGANGGUAAGCGGAACUACNAGUGUAGAGGGUGAAAUUCGUAGAUAUUUGUAGGAAUGCCGAUGGGGGAAGCCAGCNUUACUGGGANAGAUACUGACGCUAAAGCGCNAAAGCGUGGGGUAGCNAANNGG
rnacentral:rRNA from 1 species